rnacentral:misc_RNA from 1 species
UCCGGUUUGACACCGGCAGUCCCGCUAGAGUGCGUCGCCCGAAGGCGCUUGGCAACUAGAGGCAGGGGUUUCGCUCGUUAGAGGACUUAACCCGACACUUCACAGCACGAGCUGACGACAGCCAUGCAGCACCUGUGCACGUUCCACCCUUGCGGGUGUCACUCCGCUUUCACAGAGCUAAUCCGUGCAUGUCAAGCCUUGGAUAAGGUUCUUCGCGUUGCUUCGAAUUAAGCCACAUGCUCCACCGCUUGUGUGAGCCCCCGUCAAUUCCUUUGAGUUUUAGCCUUGCGGCCGUACUCCCCAGGCGGGGCGCUUAAUGCGUUAGCUGCGGCACGGAACUCGUGGAAUGAGUCCCACACCUAGCGCCCAACGUUUACGGUGUGGACUAC